GGCACCGCCCAUUUCUUGGCGUUGAGCUGAGAGGAGAAGGAAAGGGGAGAGAGAGCAAGCGAGAGAAGGGAAAAAAAAAAGAAAGAAAGAAAAAAAAAAAAGCUGUCUCACUCCAACUGGCCUUUCUCGGAAAAGGAUCCUUCCCUGGUGACUGUCCGGAUAAGCGGAGCUGAAAGCAGCCACUGCUCCACAACACAACCACUCUGCCGGCGGUGCGUCCCUCUCGCUGCCUCGGAACCACUGAGCAGUCAGUACCUGGAUGAGGAUCAUCUCACUGCCCUGGAUGGCAAUGGUCCCAAGCUGUCCUUGAGGCUGAGGUAGUAGAUUGAAUAGUUGUGGAGUCUUAUCCUCCCUUUGAGCUAACUAUACAAUCUACUGUCUUUCCUAAGGAGACAGUCAGAUCUUCAGCUCGUCUGCUUCGACACAAAGCGUGGAGACAGGUGGUGCAAAGAAUCCUGCUCCUCCACAAAGCAGGGAAUCACAGCAGACCUCUGUACUGCUCUGUGGAGGUGAGGUAGUAGGUUGUAUAGUUUGGUGGGAGGGAUUCUAUCCCAUUUCAGGUGAUAACUAUACAGUCUAUUGCCUUCCUUAAAGAGCAGCAAUACCACCAGAGGAGAUGCUCAGAGGUCCUGGAGCAAAAACAGCACAUGGCACUAUUGAACAACACAGUGGCUCUUCUCCUGCAGCAUCCAGGAUUGUGUCAUUCCAGGGAAUAACUACCAAAUAUCCACAUAAAGAAAAAUGUACCUCUCAUUUUUAAUGGCUGCAAGAGAAACAAUGAAAUGAGCUGUCUUAGCCAAGAACUCAAAGCCCCGUGAGCUGAUCAGAUUUUGGCUGGUUGGCCCCUGAAAGUCCAUUCUGGUUUUGGACAAGUUCCCAGCUGUCCCAUGGGACAGAGUUACAGGGUGGUUCUUUCUGAUUUGGUAAUCUCUAUCAACCCAACUCACACGCAAACCCUGCUGGAGACAUUUGGGCUCCUAUGUAUUUACGUAAAAUAAGCCAACAAUUCAGACCAGUGCCCCGUCCUCCUCAGGAAACAGGUGAGAAAGAGAGAUGAGCCAAAGGCAGCAAGUCCUGAUCCCUCUUGUUCCUGCCAGGUAGGUGGCACUGACAUCUGACAGCAGAUGCAGGAGAUGACAGCCUGCUUCAGAGCUCUGGCACUUGACAAGGGACAGAGAAUGGUUAUUUCUUCCCUUGGUGAGAAGCAGAUGGGACAACCCCUCCACCACAUUCCAGAGUAAAUAGAAUCCAGAUCACAGGAGGGACUGUAACUCGAUGAGGGCUGCACCAGUUUCUCAAGACUGAAGGAUGUCUCGGGACAUUAUCACCAGCAUCUCACUGCCAGGGAAACGCGUGAGAUCUGAGACACUGAGGAGCAAGGGCAAACCGAGGGCACCUUCUCAGAUGAAUCGGGAGGAAGAGAGCUGCAAUAAGAAAUUGGAGCCCUCAAAUUUCACCCUGGAAGUGAAACACGGGGCGACUCAGAGCUGGCUGCUCGGGCUGUGGGACUGCCAUCAGUGAAGCAGCUCAUUUAAGGCUCCUCUGCUGCUUGGGAUAGGGCGUAGCUUCAGCAAGGCUGGGAUGGGACUUCCUCAGGCAGGGCAACAGCUGGAGGGUGGGGAUGCUGGAGUAUCUAGCAGCAGAGGAAUGCAGCCCUCUGCUCCAUACAUCUGGCUUUCCAGGAGUCAUGGGAACCUGUCACACAAAGCUACAGCUCGCUUCUCUUCUACACAUUCUUACCCCCUAUGUACCUCCUCAGGGGCAGGGCUUCUACCCCCAGCAUUGCUCGGAAGGUACCAAAGCAGCAGCACGACUAUGGGAACAGGGCAGCGCAUCAGCUUCGUGUUUAAGGGGUGUCUCCUGGAAAAGGAUUAAUCCUGUGGGUCCCGAACGAAAUCGGUUCACUCCCCAUCCACUGCACUGAUGUUAACGCAAAGAAUUUUAAGCAGCAAAACAGUAUGAGAUGAAAACCAUGAGUAAAAUGCCACUAGAGAUACUCUUCUGUGAAAAUAAACUUGCUUUGAUUAUUGUAUUAUAUAUAUAUUUUAAUAGUGUCUUUUACUGCCUUGAAGCAAGCAUGGCUGAUGAGCUGGGGCCAGGGUUGGCUGGUGCUCCUGACUGUGUGUCACCCAGCAAACCCUGCACGUGACCAAAGCCCUGAGCCCAAAGGGGAAACCAGGACAUGACAAGGGGAGGUGGGGUUGGCUGAGCAGCCGAGGCUGUAGGUCCUGCUGUCAACAGGCACCGUCCUGGGCCCAGAAUGGGAAAUGUGACAGAACUCCACAGAGGCAGCAAGGCCCCGUCCAGCAGGGAUCCUCCAUGCCAGGGAAGGAGUGGCCACAUGGAAACCUCCUCCUCUUUGGGUCCCCAGACUCUUGCAGCAGCUUCGCCAGGCUCCUUUCCUUCCAGGAAUCUCCCACCAACUCACUUCAGUGGCUGAGCAUCCUUCAGGCCGUCCCCAGAAACAGAGCUGGAAAUGCUUCACAAGUUUCCCUUGGAUGUUCCAUGCCCUUCCCUGCUUACCAACCACACUCUCAAUCCACGUUUGCCACGCAGCUGCCUUCCCUCCAUCCCUAAAUCCUCCUGAUUUGGGACUAAACCAAACCACUCCAAAUCCCCACCUUGGCAGCGCUCAGCCCCGCUGUCCCAGGGCACAGGGGGAAGAGGAAGGAGAAUCUGCCUUCUAGUUUUGAAUUUGCUGCUGCAAGGAACUCUACAAAUAGUGCUCGCACCAUUCUGUGACUGCAAGUGUCAAAGCUUUUGGGAAAAGAAAACUCAACCAUAAAAUAAAGAUGAAAUACUUAAAAAAAAACCACCUCUGGAAUGCUUUGCAUGGGCUCAUGCAAACUCUGUUACUGCUGCUCUGAGCCCCACGGUGGUUAUUGAGGUAGGAGAGGGGGAAGCACCCAACACUGCAAAACAAAUCCGAUGCUGACCAAGUGCUCUCAUUUCACUGGGAGGAGAAACACUUUUCUGCUCUUUUAAUCAUUGGUAGGGGAUUAAUGAUACGCUCUCCUUCACCCGGGUGGGCAAACAGUUGCAGCCCUGAAGUGCCAUCCCAGCUCUGUCCCUGCUUUACCCCUGGUAGGGCUGCAGGCCCUUGCAACAGGUGAACAACAGCCGCUCUGGCUGGACUUCUGUCACUUGUCAGCAGCUCCAUGCUGGGUGCUUUUCCCCUUGCAGCUUGCAGGAGCUCAGCCAUGCAACAACCCUUAGGAGAAAUUAUUUUAAAAUCUGAUUCUUAACUACACCUGAUGCUUGUGAUUAAAUAGAGCGCUGUACAGUGAGGUCAGUGCUGCUCACUGCUCCGCAGUGACUGUCCCACUGCCAUCUGCUGGUCACCAUUCAGCAGGGUUAGCAGUGACCGUGACCUAAAAACACCCCACGGGCAGCUGCUUCCUAUCAGGGAGCCGUGCUGCUGUGCUCCUGCAGCAGAACCACAGGGAGAGGGGAAGCACAGAGCAGCCUCAAAGCAACAAGCAAAGGUCCAACGUCAGCAUCAUUCCCAUGCUGUGGGUUCACCCCUUGCAGUGCGGGUGCUGUGAUGUUCAGUGGGGAAGGGACAGGGGAGGACAUUGCAUUUAGCUUCUUUCAUUGCCACGCAGAUGAAGACGUGCUGGGGUGGGAGGAGGCUGCUCGGCCUCGUAGCAGGGAACCAGAAGCACUCCAGCAUUAAUUUCAUCUUGGUUUCUUUUUGCUCUGAGCUCCCUUCAUCUUGCUUUCCUUGCCCACAAAUUCCUGCUGGAGACACAUUUUUGCUCAGCACUCAGCUGAUGCAAUAUUCCCUACAAAUAAUAGGGAAUAGGGAUUCUCUAUUCCCUAUCGUGCUGAACGUCCUCCUCCUCCUGCUUUUAAUUGGGCUAAAAACAUAAAUCACAUAAUCAUGGUUUAGGUUGGAGGGGACCUUAAAGAUCAUUGAGUUCCAGAAGAUCAAAAAGCUGCAAUCCUGCAGAACCCAGCACCCAUUGCUGUCGAGAAGCCAAAAAACAAUAACAACAUUGAGCACUUGGAAGGAGCCAGGGUGAUUUGCAGCAAUUCUACUUAAAUGCACAACCAGGAUUGUUUUUCAGAUACAAGCCGACUUCUGGAGAUCCCCAAAAGAAACCAUGUGCCCCACAGCAGGCUUUCAGAACAGGAUUUAUUCAGUGCAUGCUCUGGAGAUGCACAGCACACAGCAUCAGGAGGAGGACUCAGACAUUGGACUUAUCUCCACCUCAUCUAUGUAAUAAACCAAAGAAUGCAGCAACCAGAGAAGAACUGGAUCUCCUCGUCCCUUCUGCUGGGCUGCAAAACUUGCCCCACAUUUAACACCCCCCGCUGGGAAUCUUCAGGUGAACAGAGCAGAAACAUGGAGGAAUACAACACACAGUGCUCCAGAGAAUGAAAGCCAUCCUGCAACAAGUCCUGGAAGCACCGGUACCCUCUAACGUCAUUCACUUGGCUCUCUCAAGCUGAAACUGCACCAGCAGACCUGAUUAUUUUUCCUCCUGGACCCACAUAUAUACAUCAACCAGGAUCUGGAUCUAACUGCAAAUACGUCGUACACUUAAGAUCUGCAAAGAGGGAAGCCGUGCAGAAGAAAGGAGCAGUAACUCCUCUCCUGUGCUGGAGGUUUUUCUUCUGUGCAGGCACACACGUGCAGGCACACGCGUACAAUAAGGGCAUGACAACGGAGUAACUGUUGGAGCAGAAGUGAGGAAGGGGGUAAAGACUGCAAAGGGAUGGCAGGAGAAGGAGCACGUCUAGACACUGGCCAUAGCUCUACCCAGAAGUAGGAAACACAAACCUCUUCUGUGGACAAAAAUGCCAUUUUUGGACAAGGAAGGAAGAGGUGACACUUCUCCAAAAUUGAGACAAACAGACACACGAGGAGAGAAAGAGAGCAUUUCUGGUAGAAAUCCAUCCUGAUACACAGACAUCAGACGCAACGAUCGUGUCUUGCCUCCAAACAAAUACCAAAGCCAACCUCCAUGUCCCAUUGCCAUUUGGGUUUCCAGGGCAUUCUGGUUUCCCUGGGACGUGGUGCAGCAGGACCUGCCGGCCACACAGGGCAACGAGAGCUUAUCGUCUCCUAUUGGAAACAGAGCAGAAGCCCAGGCUGGCUGGGAAGAAGGGAGAAGUAUUGGUACCCAAGUUCACUAGCAUGAUGGCAGACACCCUUCUGCCCCUGGGCUGUCUCAGGAAGGGCACUGAGUGCCCAUGUGAUGGCCAGUAGCCCUUGGCACAGCAGGGCUGGAGCGGGUGAGCCAGAGGAAGAAGAGAGUGUGUCAACCUGAACUGCCCGUGGUGUCUCCCAAGCCUACCAGGGUGGUGGGACAACCAUGCUGAAGAAAGCCUUGGCGACGGGUGCAGGGACAGCUGAGAAAGUCUGUUCAAAGCAGAAGGCCCACCAGGAUGACACAGGGCAGGAGGAAGAGCAAAAGGCCCUUGUGGGUGCUGGGAGCUCCAGCUGUGGGCUGCUGCUUGCCUUCAUGGUCUGAGUUUGUCUCCAGCUCUUCAGCAUUCGAGGCAUCUGCUGGCAGAAAAGAAAAAAACAGCACAGAGUUAAAGGGGAAGAUGUGAGCAAAAGAGAAACUCCCAUUCAUGCAGGGAUCUGUCAGGGAUGUGCACGACGACACCACGAGGUGCAAGGCAGCAGCACACAGAUCCAACGGAGACACGGCACAGCCGGUGGGUGUUAGUGAGGAGCAGGCUGUAAACAAAUCCAUGCUUCACAAACCAGGCAUCCAAACAGACCCUUUAAGCGUUAGGGGAAAGAGUGAGGAAAAGGGUUGUUGCCACAUCAAAGACGAGGAUCCAAAGGACCAGUCUGAUACUGGCUCCUCCCAAGUGUGCUCCAUGCUUGGGGAUCACUCAACGUCUGCAUGUCCAUGCCAGGUCAGACUCCACAAUUACCUUACCUGAGAAGGAGGUCUGGAAAGCAGGGCUCUGCCCCUUUUCUUUGGAAGAUGACGUUAAACGCAUGAAGAUGGGUUCUUCAGGGCUGGAGACCACUGACUUUGAGGAGGUUAUGAGCUCAGCUUUAUUGAAACCUAACUUGAUCUCUGGAAUAAUCUGGCUGGGGGAUGGAGUUGGACUGGAAAAGAAGGCUGAUUUCUCUCUCUCAUCCUCUUUCACACCGUUAUUUGUUUCUGGGACUGAUUUGGGACUGAUGGCUGUGCCCAUACUUUCUAAUAAGUCUGGAUUUUCUGUAGCUAAGGAGGCAACAGGCUCUUCAGUAUCUAACUCUGCUUCUGGAGAUGCUCUAUAAUCCGAGUCUAAAGUGGGCUCAAAGGAAAGUGUUAACCCAGUUGUUGCAAUAUAAUCGGGACUUUCAGUUU